rnacentral:piRNA from 1 species
UGAGAAGUGUGUAACGGCCAGAGGUUGGA